GUUUCCAUAGGUGAACCUGCGGAAGGAUCAUUGUCGAAGCCUGCCCAGCAGAACGACCCGCGAACUUGUAUAAACAACCGGGGGCAGGGGCGAUCUCGCCCCGUGCCCUCGAACGGCAUGGAGACACUCGUGCCUUCUUGUCGAACAACGACCCCCGGCGCGGUCUGCGCCAAGGAACUUCAAUUAAAUAGUGCCUCCGGUCGCCUCGGAAACGAUGCGCGUGUCGGAGGCGAAUCUUGUACAAAACCAUAACGACUCUCGGCAACGGAUAUCUCGGCUCUC
rnacentral:misc_RNA from 1 species